CUGCAGCCAUUAAACUGACCAUGCUCUUUUCCCCGUGGGGGCCUGGUGUGCAAUGGCUGCACACAGUUGCAUUCUUAUUUAUUUUUAUAUAUUUAUAAAAAUAAAUAUAUAAAAAUUU